rnacentral:rRNA from 1 species
CUGGCUCAGGAUGAACGCUAGCGACAGGCCUAACACAUGCAAGUCGAGGGCAGCACAAGGGCAAUCUGAGGUGGCGACCGGCGCACGGGUGAGUAACACGUAUGCAACCUGCCUGUAAGCGGGGAAUAACCCGUUGAAAGACGGACUAAUACCGCAUAAUACUAAAUUACUGCAUGGUAAUUUAUUUAAACAUUUAUGGCUUACAGAUGGGCAUGCGCAUGAUUAGCUAGUUGGAGAGGUAACGGCUCCCCAAGGCAACGAUCAGUUAGGGGUUCUGAGAGGAAGGUCCCCCACACUGGUACUGAGACACGGACCAGACUCCUACGGGAGGCAGCAGUGAGGAAUAUUGGUCAAUGGACGAGAGUCUGAACCAGCCAAGUCGCGUGCAGGAAGAAUGUCCCUAUGGAUUGUAAACUGCUUUUGCAGGGGAAUAAAGUGCAUCACGUGUGAUGUUUUGUAUGUACUCUGCGAAUAAGGAUCGGCUAACUCCGUGCCAGCCGCUGC